CCUACGGGUGGCAGCAGUGAGGAAUAUUGGUCAAUGGCCGAGAGCCUGAACCAGCCAAGUCGCGUGAGGGAAGAAUGUCCUAUGGAUUGUAAACCUCUUUUGUAAGGGAGCAAAGUCACCCACGUGUGGGUGUUGGAGAGUACCUGAAGAAAAAGCAUCGGCUAACUCCGUGCCAGCCGCCGCGGUAAUACGGAGGAUGCGGGCGUUAUCCGGAUUUAUGGGGUUUAAAGGGUGCGUAGGCGGGUUAUCAAGUCAGCGGUAAAAUCGUGGGGCUCAACUCCAUCCAGCCGUUGAAACUGAUGAUCUUGAGUGGGCGAGAAGUAUGCGGAAUGCGUGGUGUAGCGGUGAAAUGCAUAGAUAUCACGCAGAACUCCGAUUGCGAAGGCAGCAUACCGGCGGCCGACUGACGCUGAAGCACGAAAGCGUGGGUAUCGAACAGGAUUAGAUACCCGUGUAGUC
rnacentral:rRNA from 1 species